rnacentral:rRNA from 1 species
GAUGAACGCUGGCGGCGUGCCUAAUACAUGCAAGUCGAGCGAACAGACGAGGCGCUUGCUCCUCAGACGUUAGAGGCGGACGGGUGAGUAACACGUGGAUAAGCAACCUAUCUGCCUGGGAUAACUUCGUGACAACGGAACUCAUAACGGAUAAUAUAAUAAUCUGGAUGGUUGCAUAGUGAAAGACGGAAUUGCUGUCUCUUAUCGCUAGCUCACCGCCGAAUUAUCUAUUUGGUAAGAUAACGGCUUACCAAGGAAACGAUGCGUAGCCGACCUGAGAGGUGGUCCGGCCACACGGGAACGGAGACACGGCCCAAACUCCUACGGGAGCCGGCAUAAGGGAAUCUUGCGCAAUGGGGGAAAGCUUGACGGGGCAAGGCCGCGGGAUGGAGGAAGGUCUUCGGAUCGUAAAACUCUUUUAUUAGGGAAGAACAAUUGUGUAAGUAACUAUGCACGUCUUGACGGUACCUUAUCAGAAAGCCACGGCUAACUACGUG